GGUCAUAUGGUGAAUCAAUAUUAUAUCACAAUGAAAUUUCAAUUCAUAGUACAAAUGACUA
rnacentral:tRNA from 1 species